rnacentral:rRNA from 1 species
UACGUAGGUCUCAAGCGUUAUCCGGAAUUACUGGGCGUAAAGGGUCCGUAGGCGGCUGGAUAAGUCAGUAGAUAAAGCCUGGCUCUCAAGGUCAGAAAAUCUACUGAUACUGCUUAGCUCGAGGACAGGAGAAAACAGGGGAAUUCCCGGUGUAGCGGUGAAAUGCGUAGAUAUCGGGAAGAACACCUGAGGCGAAAGCGCGCAACUGGGCCCUAACUGACGCUGAGGUACGAAAGCUAGGGGAGCGAAUGGG